rnacentral:tRNA from 1 species
AGCAGUGUGGCCUAGUAAGAAAGGCACUGGCCUGGGAGUCAGAGAACCUGGGUUCUAAUCCUGGCUCUCCCA